GCGCGUCCUUCAAAUAUUUUUUACUUUUUUUACUUUUAUAUAAUAAAAACUUUUUUUUACUUUUAACCGUUUCAGCUACCUCACUUUUUCUUUCCUUCGGCGAUGUGGCAGAAUGUGCACUGGUUGAUGAUCAAGUCGACGAGAGGUUAGUUGCAUUUCUUCCCUUUUUCUUCUUUGUUUUUGCAUUUCUUUUCUUUUUUUUUUCUCUGUUUUUGCAUUUAUCCGUUUCUUUAUUUCAUGAUCUUUAUAAUUCAAAGAAGUAGGAGGAGAUGGAAAGGUCUUUUUUACUGCGUGACAUGAUUGAAAGAAAUAAAGAGUACAUAAAAGGAAA
rnacentral:lncRNA from 1 species